UAGCUCAGCUGGUAGAGCAUCUGAUUUGUAAUCAGGGGGUCGGGAGUUCGAGUCUCUC
rnacentral:tRNA from 1 species